AGGGACAUAGUUCAAUGGUAGAACAACGGUCUCCAAAACCGUCGAUGCGGGUUCAACUCCUGCUGUCCCUG
rnacentral:tRNA from 1 species